UACGAAGGGGGCUAGCGUUGCUCGGAAUCACUGGGCGUAAAGGGUGCGUAGGCGGGUCUUUAAGUCAGGGGGGAAAUCCUGGAGCUCAACUCCAGAACUGCCUUUGAUACUGAGGAUCUUGGGUUCGGGAGAGGUGAGUGGAACUGCGAGUGUAGAGGUGAAAUUCGUAGAUAUUCGCAAGAACACCAGUGGCGAAGGCGGCUCACUGGCCCGAUACUGACGCUGAGGCACGAAAGCGUGGGGAGCAAACAGG
rnacentral:rRNA from 1 species